rnacentral:rRNA from 1 species
GACGAACGCUGGCGGCGUGCUUAACACAUGCAAGUCGAACGGAAAGGCCCUGCUUUUGUGGGGUGCUCGAUUGGCGAACGGGUGAGUAACACGUGAGUAACCUGCCCUUGACUUUGUGAUAACUUCAGGAAACUGGGGCUCAUACCGGAUAGGAGCUCCUGCUGCAUGGUGUGGGUUGGAAAGUUUCGGCGGUUGGGGAUGGACUCGCGGCUUAUCAGCUUGUUGGUGGGGUAGUGGCUUACCAAGGCUUUGACGGGUAGCCGGCCUGAGAGGGUGACCGGCCACAUUGGGAAUGAGAUACGGCCCAGAAUGCUACGGGAGGCAGCAGUGGGGAAUAUUGCACAAUGGGCGGAAGCCUGAUGCAGCAACGCCGCGUGCGGGAUGACGGCCUUCGGGUUGUAAACCGCUUUCGCCUGUGACGAAGCGUGAGUGACGGUAAUGGGUAAAGAAGCACCGGCUAACUACGUG